AACGAACGCUGGCGGCGUGCCUAAUACAUGCAAGUCGAGCGAAUGGAUUAAGAGCUUGCUCUUAUGAAGUUAGCGGCGGACGGGUGAGUAACACGUGGGUAACCUGCCCAUAAGACUGGGAUAACUCCGGGAAACCGGGGCUAAUACCGGAUAACAUUUUGAACAGCAUGGUUCGAAAUUGACAGGCGGCUUCGGCUGUCACUUAUGGAUGGAACCGCGUCGCAUUAGCUAGUUGGUGAGGUAACGGCUCACCAAGGCAACGAUGCGUAGCCGACCUGAGAGGGUGAUCGGCCACACUGGGACUGAGACACGGCCCAGACUCCUACGGGAGGCAGCAGUAGGGAAUCUUCCGCAAUGGACGAAAGUCUGACAGAGCAACGCCGCGUGAGUGAUGAAGGCUUUCGGGUCGUAAAACUCUGUUGUUAGGGAAGAACAAGUGCUAGUUGAAUAAGCUGGCACCUUGACGGUACCUAACCAGAAAGCCACGGCUAACUACGUGCCAGCAGCCGCCGUAA
rnacentral:rRNA from 1 species